rnacentral:rRNA from 1 species
GACGAACGCUGGCGGCGUGCUUAACACAUGCAAGUCGAACGGAAAGGCCCUGCUUUUGUGGGGUGCUCGAGUGGCGAACGGGUGAGUAACACGCGAGUAACCUGCCCUUGACAUUGGGAUAACUUCAGGAAACUGGGGCUCAAAUCGGAUAGGAGAUCUUGCUGCACGGGGGGGGUUGGAAAGUUUCGGCGGUUGGGGCUGGACUAGAAGCUUAUCGGCUUGUUGGGGGGGUAGUGGCUUAACAAGGCUUCGAAGGGUAGCCCGCCUUGGAGGGGAACCAGCCACAUUGGGACUGAGAUACGGCCCAGACUCCAACGGGAGGCAGCAGUGGAGAAUAUUGCGCAGUGGGCGGGAGCCUGAUGUAGAAGCGCCGCGUGCGUGAUGACGGCCUUCGGGUUAAAAACCGCUGUCGCCUGUGACGAAGCGUGAGUGACGGUACUGAGUAAAGAAGCACCGGCUAACUACGUG